rnacentral:misc_RNA from 1 species
GAUGAAGAACGCAGCAAAAUGCGAUAAGUAAUGUGAAUUGCAGAAUUCAGUGAAUCAUCGAAUCUUUGAACGCACAUUGCGCCCGCCAGUAUUCUGGCGGGCAUGCCUGUUCGAGCGUCAUUUCAACCCUCAAGCACAGCUUGGUGUUGGGACUCGCGUUAAUUCGCGUUCCCCAAAUUGAUUGGCGGUCACGUCGAGCUUCCAUAGCGUAGUAGUAAAACCCUCGUUACUGGUAAUCGUCGCGGCCACGCCGUUAAACCCCAACUUCUGAAUGUUGACCUCGGAUCAGGUAGGAAUACCCGCUGAACUUAAGCAUAGCAAUAAGCGGAGGA